AUUGAACGCUGGCGGCAUGCCUAACACAUGCAAGUCGAACGAGUGGCGGACGGGUGAGUCAUAUCUUGGAACCUGCCUGAUCGACGGGUAUAACUCCUGGAACCCUUAGCUAAUACCGCAUACCAUCAGAUCUGCCCAGAGGGGAUUAGCUAGUUGGUGGGGUAACGGCUCACAAAGGCGACGCUCCCUAGCUGGUCUGAGAGGAUGACCAGCCACACUGGAACUGAGACACGGUCCAGACUCCUACGGGAGGCAGCAGUGGGGAAUUUUGGACAAUGGGGGAAAGCGUGAUCCAGCCAUGCCGGGUGUAUGAAGAAGGCAUUCGGGUUGUAAAGUACGUUCGGUUGAGAAGCGGUAUCAGCAGAAGAAGCAACGGCUAACGUCGUGCCAGCAGCCGCGGUAAUAC
rnacentral:rRNA from 1 species